GGGGAUAUAGCUCAGUGGUAGAGCAUGUGCUUAGCGGGCACAAGGUCCUGGGUUCAAUCUCCAGUACCUCCG
rnacentral:tRNA from 1 species